UGGGGAAUAUUGGACAAUGGGCGCAAGCCUGAUCCAGCCAUGCCGCGUGAGUGAAGAAGGCCUUCGGGUUGUAAAGCUCUUUCGGCCGGGAAGAAAUCGUGUUCUCUAACAUAGGACAUGGAUGACGGUACCGGACUAAGAAGCACCGGCUAACUACGUGCCAGCAGCCGCGGUAAUACGUAGGGUGCGAGCGUUAAUCGGAAUUACUGGGCGUAAAGCGUGCGCAGGCGGUUUUGUAAGACAGAUGUGAAAUCCCCGGGCUUAACCUGGGAACUGCGUUUGUGACUGCAAGGCUGGAGUACGGCAGAGGGGGGUGGAAUUCCACGUGUAGCAGUGAAAUGCGUAGAGAUGUGGAGGAACACCGAUGGCGAAGGCAGCCCCCUGGGCCUGUACUGACGCUCAUGCACGAAAGCGUGGGGAGCAAACA
rnacentral:rRNA from 1 species